rnacentral:lncRNA from 1 species
AGAAAAGAAUGUAAGGAAAGAAUGACAACUGGAGAUUCCAUCUCACGUCUGCCUGGCCUGGAAACAGAGCUUCAGGGCCCAAAAGUUGAAGAGCUUGCAGAGGCACCAACCUAGUCUGGGAUCUCAGUUUAGAUGUCUUAUUCAGGGCCAAUAGUCUGGUGAGUAUGCAGGUUCUCAAAUUCUCAGAGUGAGACACAAAAAAACCUACCAGGCAUGAAUUUUUCCUGCAAAGGAAUGAGGGGUUGGCAUUGGUUUAUCUUACAGCUCUGUGUGCUGCUGCUUGCCUAGAGCCAUUCCCAUUUUUAAGCAUCUAAGUUACAUGCAUAUGCCCAACCUUAAAGGAUUUUUCUAAAAUAGGAAGAUAGCAAGAAUUAAGCUUCCUAUUAUCCUGUGAAGCCCAGAAGAAUCUGAGCAUAAGGUAAAGAGUGGAGGAAGGGAACUAACAUUUGUUGAGUAUUGAUUAUGAUAAGGCAUUUUUCCUUUAUUCUCUUUCUUAAUCCUCUCAAUAGCCAUUUGUGGUACAUCUGAAUCGGCCUGGUGAAUAAGAUUUGGGUUCCUCAAGACAGAGAAGGUAUGGCACCUGCAUACUCAUAUUUCCUCUGAGAGCAUCUGGCAAGACACCUGGA